rnacentral:rRNA from 1 species
CUGGUUGAUCCUGCCAGAGGUUACUGCUAUCGAGAUUCGACUAAGCCAUGCGAGUCGAAUGUUCUUCGUGAACAUGGCGGACUGCUCAGUAACACGUGGACAACCUACCCUUGGGUCUGGCAUAAUCCUGGGAAACUGGGUAUAAUUCCAGAUAGGUCACAGAUGCUGGAAUGCACUGUGGCCGAAAGCUCCGGCGCCCAAGGAUGGGUCUGCGGCCUAUCAGGGUUGUAGUGGGUGUAACGGACCUACUAGCCUACGACGGGUACGGGUUGUGAGAGCAAGAGCCCGGAGAUGGAUUCUGAGACACGAAUCCAGGCCCUACGGGGUGCAGCAGGCGCGAAAACUUUACAAUGCGGGAAACCGUGAUAAGGGAAUCUCGAGUGCCAGCAUAUAAUGUUGGCUGUCCAGAUGCCUAAAAAGCAUCUGUUAGCAAGGGCCGGGCAAGACCGGUGCCAGCCGCCGCGGUAACACCGGCGGCCCGAGUGGUAACCGCUUUUAUUGGGUCUAAAGGGUCUGUAGCCGGCCAAGUAAGUCCCUUGGGAAAUCUGGCAGCUUAACUGUCAGGCUGCUAGGGGAUACUGCUAGGCUUGGGACCGGGAGAGGUGAGAGGUACCUUGGGGGUAGGGGUGAAAUCUUGUGAUCCUCGGGGGACCACCAGUGGCGAAGGCGUCUCACCAGAACGGGCCUGACGGCAAGGGACGAAAGCUAGGGGCACGAACCGGAUUAGAUACCCGGGUAGUCCUAGCCGUAAACGAUACUCGCUAGGUGUCGGCCACGGUGCGACCGUUGUCGGUGCCGUAGGGAAGCCGUGAAGCGAGCCACCUGGGAAGUACGGCCGCAAGGCUGAAACUUAAAGGAAUUGGCGGGGGAGCACCACAACAGGUGGAGCUUGCGGUUUAAUUGGAUUCAACGCCGGA